CUUCAUGACCGAAUGUUAAAAUAAAAGAGAAAGAAAAAGGUUUUCAAAGUUUCGGCCAUUGUUGAGUUUGAUUAAGAUCAAGAACUAAAGAAAUCGGAUUUGGAUCAGGGAAAAACCAAAGUUGUCAAAUAGUCAUUCCGUUCCAAUUGCUGUUGUCCGAGAUUUUGGAGUCAAGUUACAAGCUCGGGGAUCGUCAGCGAAGUUUAUCACACUAUUGACUGUUUUCGAUACUUUAUAAGUUGAAUUUCGAAUCUAUGGCAUGUAUAGGCUAGAUUAUAUUUGGAUAUGUCGAUUUUGUUAUGUAUAUAUAUAAGCCAUGCGAAAAUGGCUUGUUUAUUUUGUUAAGUUCGGUUUCAAGGUAUGAUCAAAUUAUGGUUAUGUUUGGUUGUAUUUUUGGUGAUUCGGUUGUGGUUUAUUCACAGAUAAAUAUAUAUGUGAACUUUGUUGUUAUGUUUUGUUAAGAUGUUAUUAUAUGAUUUGGUAUUUAAGCAUAUUCAGUUAUGGUAUAUAGAAGAAG